rnacentral:rRNA from 1 species
CAGUCGCCGCGGGAAUACGAAGGGGGCUAGCGUUGUUCGGAUUUACUGGGCGUAAAGGGCGCGUAGGCGGACUGAUAAGUCAGGGGUGAAAUCCCAAGGCUCAACCUUGGAACUGCCCUUGAUACUGUUUGUCUUGAGUUCGAGAGAGGUAAGUGGAACUGCGAGUGUAGAGGUGAAAUUCGUAGAUAUUCGCAAGAACACCAGUGGCGAAGGCGGCUUACUGGCUCGAUACUGACGCUGAGGCGCGAAAGCGUGGGGAGCAAACAGGAUUAGAUACCCCAGUAGUCCCUGUCUCUUAUAC